GCCUUCGUGGUGUGGUGGUCAGCACGCUUGACGCGUAACCGAGAGGUCCGUGGUUCGAUUCCCGGCCGAAGGCC
rfam:Stegodyphus mimosarum contig86890, whole genome shotgun sequence.